rnacentral:lncRNA from 1 species
UCAGUUCUCCUAGUUAGUGAUUCCUUGCAAUACAAACCUAGUGGAACAUGUAAUUGUAAAAGCACUUUCAUGGACCAUGGGACAUGGAAAAACAUUAAAAUACCUUUUCUAUUAGGACAUAUGAUUUUUUGAUAAAUAUAUGAAAUUUCAAUGCAAGAUUAAUCAUGAAAAAAGGCUAUUGCCCUGAUACAUAACUCCUGCAAUUGGAAAAACAAUUGUUACAGAAUUUUAUUAGGAUCAAACCAUCAAAGUGAUACCUAGCGGACCAUAGCAUUUUAAGUUGAGGACCAGUUUAACAGAGCUUCAACUCCAAUAACUCAUGAAGCUAGAGCUAGGAGAUACAUUGGGAGCAUUUGGACAGUCAUUAUUUUUCUAUUUUAUUUAUUACUCCCUUAGUCCACAAAUAUGCAUUUCUGAUUUUUCUAAAUCAAACUAUCCCAAAUUUGACCAAAUUUAUUGGAAAGAAUAUUAACAUCUACC